rnacentral:rRNA from 1 species
UACGUAGGUGGCAAGCGUUACUCGGAAUCACUAGGCGUAAAGAGCGCGCAGGCGGUCGUUCAAGUCGAGUGUGAAAGCCCCCGGCUCAACUGGGGAGGGUCAUUCGAUACUGAUCGACUCGAAGGCAGGAGAGGGAAGUGGAAUUCCCGGUGUAGCGGUGAAAUGCGCAGAUAUCGGGAAGAACACCCGUGGCGAAGGCGGCUCUCUGGGACGGUACUGACGCUGAGACGCGAAAGCGUGGGGAGCGAACAGG